GAGUUUGAUCGUGGCUCAGAUUGAACGCUGGCGGCAGGCCUAACACAUGCAAGUCGAGCGGAUGACGGGAGCUUGCUCCUUGAUUCAGCGGCGGACGGGUGAGUAAUGCCUGGGAAUCUGCCUGGUAGUGGGGGACAACGUUUCGAAAGGAACGCUAAUACCGCAUACGUCCUACGGGAGAAAGCAGGGGACCUUCGGGCCUUGCGCUAUCAGAUGAGCCUAGGUCGGAUUAGCUAGUUGGUGGGGUAAUGGCUCACCAAGGCGACGAUCCGUAACUGGUCUGAGAGGAUGAUCAGUCACACUGGAACUGAGACACGGUCCAGACUCCUACGGGAGGCAGCAGUGGGGAAUAUUGGACAAUGGGCGAAAGCCUGAUCCAGCCAUGCCGCGUGUGUGAAGAAGGUCUUCGGAUUGUAAAGCACUUUAAGUUGGGAGGAAGGGCAGUAAGUUAAUACCUUGCUGUUUUGACAUUACCGACAGAAUAAGCACCGGCUAACUCUGUGCCAGCCGCCG
rnacentral:rRNA from 1 species